rnacentral:rRNA from 1 species
GAGAGUUAAACAGUACGUGAAAUUGUUGAAAGGGAAACGAUUGAAGUCAGUCAUACCAACGGGAAAUCAACCUUUUGAGUUUGGUCUAUUGGGUUUUGAAGAGUUUUAAAAGCCUGGUGUACUUUCUCGUACGGUUAGUCAACAUCGGUUUUGAAUGUCAUAAAAUGACUGGAGGAAUGUGGCUUCGAUCUAGUAUUGAAGUGUUAUAACCUUUGGUAGAUGUGAUGUUUGAGACCGAGGAUUGCAACGGAUACCCUUCUGGGCUAUUCGUCUGAUCUCUGAAACGUUGCCUUGAUGUCGAAAGCUUGCUUAUGAUGUUAGGGUAUUACGGUCAAAAGGUUAGAACGGAUUAAAUUCGUUAAGGAUGUUGACGUAAUGACUUUAAACGA